AUAUCUCAGCGUUUUGGCUAAGAUCAAUUGUAGUAUUGGUUCUUAUCAGUUUAAAAUUUAUUUUUCAAUUACAAUUGACAUACAAUUUUAUAUUAGUUUCAAGUGUACAACAU
rfam:Myotis lucifugus cont2.55174, whole genome shotgun sequence.